AUACUUACCUGACAGGGGAGACACCAGGAGCAUGAAGGUGGUUUUCCCAGGGUGAGGCUCAUCCGUUGCUGACCUCUGCGAUCUCCCCAAGUGCGGGGAACUCGACUGNGUAAUUUGUGGUAGUAGGGGACCGUUUUUGCACUUUCCCCUU
rnacentral:snRNA from 1 species